rnacentral:rRNA from 1 species
GGGACAGUGGCUUAAUUUGACUCAACGCGGGAAAUCUUACCGGGUCCGGAUGCACUGAGGAUUGACAGACAGGCCAUAGAACAGCUGUAUGUAUACAAUUGUUAUUAUUUGAAUAAUACAAUUAGGAGCGCCGCUUCUGCGUCGUGUGUAAACUGUUCUAAGGCUUCAUACACAGGCACUAUCUCUCAUGAUUAUGUUGCAGGUGGUGCAUGGCCGUUGUUAGUUCGUGGAGUAAUCUGUCUGCUUAAUUGCGUUUCGUACAAGUACUCACUCAAUCCUGGACGUAUCUCAAUUAUAUGUGGCGGUGUCUGUCAUGGAAAGCAGCCUACGUUGUUUCAUACGUGCAGCUGUGUCGCCUCUGAGUUAUUGUCAUUUGGAGAGUACGUGAAUGCAACGAACGUGACCGUAGUGUUUUAGUUUGCAUUUCAAACAAGUGACAUUCAUUUGACACGGUUUGUAUUCCGGCUACGUAUCAUCCCAGUGCAUAACCAUAACCAUUGCAACUAUACAUACCACUGCUUUCUUUUCUCUAACCAGGGGAAGGUUGCGGCAAUAACAGGUCUGGUGAUGC